AUUGAACGCUGGCGGCAGGCCUAACACAUGCAAGUCGAACGGUAACAGGAAGCAGCUUGCUGCUUUGCUGACGCGUGGCGGGCGGGUGAGUAAUGUCUGGGGAACUGCCCGAUGGAGGGGGAUAACUACUGGAAACGGUAGCUAAUACCGCAUAACGUCGCAAGACCAAAGAGGGGGACCUUAGGGCACCUUGCCCUCGGAUGUGCCCAGAUGGGGUGAGCUAGUAGGUGGGGUAAAGGCUCACCUAGGCGACGAACACUAGCUGGUCUGAGAGGCUGACGAGGGAAACUGGAAGUGAGACACGGUCGAGACCCCGAAGGGAGGACGCAGGGGGGGAUAUGUGACAAGGGGGGCAAGUCUGAUCCAGCCAUAGCGCGCGGGUGAAGAAGGCCUUCGGGUUGUACAGCCCUUCUGUUGGGAAAGAAAAGCAGCAGGUUAAUACCCCGCCGCUCUGACGGUACCCAAAGAAUAAGCAACGGCAAACUUCGUG
rnacentral:rRNA from 1 species